rnacentral:lncRNA from 1 species
UGUAUUCUGCUAUGUCUACUGGGAGAAUACACUAGUGGGGAUAGUUCUGUGUAUACAGUGAUUAAGCACAUAGGUUCUGGAGCCAGUCUGUUUCUUUCAAAAUCACCUCAUUGCUUUUGAAGAAUCAGGGAAACCCCCAUGAGACUACAGGUGUGAAGCAAGAUAGAAGCAUCAGUGCAAAAGAGUACUGCAUUUCCAAAUAAAGCCACUCACAAUCUUUAAUCAGGCUGUAAAUUUUAAGAAAUCUGGACCAAGACAGUUUGCUCCAAGAGUAUCCCACAAAUGCAGAUCUUCAGAGUGAGAUUUUAUUAUUGGAUUGCUCACCUGUCUGUUGUUCCUCUAAUCUGAUGGGACACUCCCGCAAUGAUGCUUCAGCUGUAUUUUAACCUCAAGAAACCCUAAGAUCCCUCACUCCUAUGCUGCUGUCAACGGGAGGCUAAGAAGCACAGAGAAAUAGGCCAUACAAAGUCUACCUCUCUGAACACUCUGAUUCUCUUACUGAGAUACCUUGGAACAUGGUUUGAAUAAUAUUGCUCUAACUUCUUUCAUGUCAGGAAGCUCUGAGAUACUUCCUUUUCUUACUUAAUAAGAAUAGACCUUGGAGGUCUGGACCUGGACAUGAACGUACACUUUUCUAAAGAAGAUAUACACAUGGCCAACAAGCAUGUGAAAAAAAGCUCAAUAUCACUGAUCAUUAGAGAAAUGCAAAUGAAAAUCACAAUGAGAGACCAUCUCACACCAGUCAGAAUGGCUAUUAUUAAAAACUCAAAAAAUAACAGAUGCUGGCGAGGUUGCAGAGAAAAGGGAACACUUAUACACUGUUGGUGGGAGUGUAAAUUAGUUCAACUAUUGUGUAAAGCAAUAUGUCAAUUCCUCAAAGAGCUAAAAAAGAACUACCAUUGGACUCAGCAAUCCCAUUACUGGGUAUAUACUCAGAGGAAUAUAAGUCACUCUACUAUAAACACACACGCAUGCAAAUUUUCAUUGUAGCACUAUUUACAAUAGCAAAGACAUGGAAUCAACCUAAAUGCUCAUCAAUGACAGAUCGGAUAAAGAAAAUAUGCAUCUUCAACCUUUCUGGACUACAGCACCUGCCAACUGACCCCCACAUCAUGGCUCCAACGCUGGCUUCAUCACAUAUCUUCUCUCUCAGUCCCUUUGGCUCUCAGGGUGCAAUAGCUUAACAAAAUUGCUGAUCUAGGUGCCUCAGCAUUGUUUCUUUGUCAUAGUCUCUGUAUUAUCUUAUUUUGAGCCAUUCUUUUCCUGCAAAGAUCCUAACUGAAUGAGAUAACUACUUCAUAAGCUAUUUGUAAGGUUUAAAUAAAUUAAUGCAUAUUUAAUACAUGAA